rnacentral:pre_miRNA from 1 species
CUUUAAAAAUUUCAUCCAUUUUUAUUAUUAAAAACUGUUAUGGAUGAUAGAAUAAGUAGAUAAUUACACAUGGUAUCUCACAUGUACCUUGCUUUGAUAUAUAGGGAUUAAUUUUUAACAACAGAAAUUAAUAGAAUUUUUAAUA